GGAGAGGGAGCAGAAGCCGCAAAGGCCUCCAGGGAAGCAGAGACACCAAGAGGCCCCAAGGCUGCUGGUCUGGCCAGCUGUGGCCUUUCCCCUACUCAUGGUGUGACCCUGGCUUUCAGCGUAUGCUUCCUAAACAGGAGAUUCAGGCCAGCUCUGGAGUCAUGGAUCUCCGGAACACCUGGGCUCAAUUUUUAUCUUUGCCAGUGAUCAGCAUGAUGGCCUUGAGCAAGCUACUACACCGCUCUGUGCCUCAGUUUCCUCAUCUGUAAAUUGGGGAUAGUGAUAGCCGCCAAUCUAAUAGGUCAUUGUAAUGAUCACAUACAUUAACACGUACAAGGUAUUUUAUGUACAUAUGGGCUAUAAAACCUAUAGUAGACACACGUAUGUUUUGGUGGUUGUUAUUAUUGAUCAUGCAAAUACCUAUCAACCGAAUUGGUAUUCCUGGUUAUACCACCUGAUGGGGUCUGGUGAUAAUUAAAUGUAACACCUUUACCCAGGCACAGAGCAGGCACUUAAUGCAUGGUAACUAAUGUGAUUGUUAUCAUCCUUGCGUUAUAUACAAUAUAUAAUCUUUAUAUUGUUACUGUAGCAAUGAUGAAUGGUCUCCCUCAGUCAUCCACAGUGUUGGUGACCAGUGGGUUUUGCCAUCUUCCCUCUAGAAAUCCAAACAAUUCAGAGGGAAAAGCAACCCCUGGACUCACACUUCCCAGAAAAGUCUGAGCACUGUGACAUGCCACGCGGUACCCCAGGCGCUGGAGUCCGGCCGAGGCAGCAGCAGAUAACAGGCGGGAAACAAAGUGACUACAGCAUUCGGACAGACCUCGUCAGAUCUGUCCUCCAGAAGGAUGCCCGCUCUUGCCCCAGCCUGGACUGGAGGCCUGGCGCAGACCUCUGCUGCUCACCUCCCCCUCGUCAUAGAGCAAGUGGGUGACGACUUGGAGCGUGAUGGCUUUGGUGUGAACCCAGACCUGCUCCUUCUUAAGCUACGUGACCUCAGGCAAGUGACUUUGCCUCUCUGAGCCUUCGUCUUGUUAGCGAUCAAAUGGGAUCAUCAUUCCUGGUCUUCCAGCUGUUGUGGGCCCAUCGGACGAUGAACAUGAACCCACUUAGCCAACUGUCAAGCCCUUAGAUGAGGUUGCGUAGCAGGGCUCUACCCACUGAACAGGUGGGCAAGGUGAGGCGUCUUGUGGCACAGGCCACUCAGCGCACUGAGAACCGUCAGAGAAAAGCCUCUCCUCAAGCCCCCAAGCUGCGCUUCCUCUCUCCUUUAUCCUGAACCCCAGGCCCCCGGAAGCCCCUGACAGCAGGAUGGGGCCCCAGCUCCAAGUCUGGCUUUCCCAGCUCCACCCCAGGAACCUGACACCCGGCACCCCCAGGAAUCCUUACCUGGCCAGUGGGGUCCGGGAGAGCCAUGAGUGAUCUCCCAGGACCCCUGGACCGCUGCCCCAGAGGCCAGUGAGCAGCGGGCCCCCAGCCAUCUAAAGAGCCCCUUACGAGCUCAGAGCGGGCUCAACCACAAUGAGAAGCAUAAACGUCGUGGAGGGUGGCCCACGUGGCCCAGUUUGCCUGGCACUGUCCUGGUUUUGAAAUAGAAUGUCCUGUGCCCUGAGCAGGCAGGACAGCUGCCUGGCGAUCCUAGUAUCAGAGUCCUGUGGCUAAAGCCAGGCUCUGGAGGCAGACCCCUGGGCUGGAAUCCCAGCGCUGCUACUUGCUAUGUGAUUUUAAAAAUUUAUUUACAUGUUUAUUUGGCUGCGGCUCGUGGGAGCUUCGAUCUUCCUCGCAGCUUGCCAGAUUUCUCAGUCGCGGUUGGUGAAUUCUUAGUGGCGGCUUGUGGGAUCUAGUCUCCUAACCGAGGAUCUGACCCAGCCCCCCUGCACUGGGGUCUAGUUCCCUGAAGAGAGACUGAAGCCGGGCCCCCCGCGCUGGAUCACCAGGGAGCCCCCCUGCACGUUAUCUACCUUUGCUGGGCUCCCCUGUCCCUCUCUGUGAGACGGGGGCAGUGAGCCCCAUCCCGUGGAGACCUGUGCGCUUGUCUGGCUCUCACACGUGGGAUAUUUAGCUCAGGUCUCCAGCAGCCGUUGUGAAACGUCAGCCGCUGUCCUCCUUUCAAGUUCCCGUCCUGCAGACGGGUGGGCUCGCUCACCUUGCUGAGAGCCUUCAGGGUGCAGGCCCUGCUAGAGGGGGCAUCAGAGAUGUAGGUGCCCUGGUUCCACCCUCAGCAGGGAGCUGGGGGUUGUGUGUGAAUAAUGACCACAGCCAGAAAUCAAUACACGUCAGGUCCGGAGAUGAAAACAGGCUUGAUCGUUAAGUCAUUCACUUAAAAUGGGUGAA